GCCGGUGUAGCUCAGUCGGUAGAGCAACUGAUUCGUAAUCAGUAGGUCAGAGGUUCGAAUCCCCUCACCGGCACCA
rnacentral:tRNA from 1 species